GCUAACUUCAUGAUAAAUAAAUGGUCAACAAAUAUUGAUUUAUGACUGCUAAGUUAAAUUUUAUUUCAAAAUUACGUUUAAAAUAAUUUAAAAGAAGUAUAUACGCAAAUGUAUUUCGAGAUUUUUCCUCUUGGAGAGAAAGCAAUGGUGUACAAAAAUAAUGUCGAAGAAGGUCUUGGUCUUGUUUCCAAUUGGGUUGUAUUUGUUGUAUUACUUAUUAGGCAAAAUUAAAGACUAAAAAUUGUCAAAUAUGAAAACGAAGGCAGUCCCAAAGCAUCUUUAUAAUAGUCCUUUAUGGAUAUGAAAAAUUAUUUUAACUGGUUUAUGCAAACCUGUGGCAGUUUGAUAAAAGAAAUUUUGAGAAAAAUAGUUGUCCAAUAGUUAAGAACAUUGCGUGUACUCAAACGUAUAUCGGAAAAACUGCUUCAAAACUAAAAAAAACAGCUCCUAGUAGGUUAUUAGAUAAACUCAUUUCGUGUGCUCAUAUUCAAAAUCUGGCAAUUUGUUUCAGCUCUUAAAAAGAUCUCCUUUUUUCUAGAAACAUUAGAAAAUAUGUUUGUAAAUAUUAAGAAUCUGUAUAAGCAAUGAAUACAUGAGCUAUAUGAAAAGCAAGACAAGAUUCUCUACAAGAAGGUGAAAAGUUUGGGUCUCAUAAUAAUUUUAGGAUUUCACAAAUAGUCCACAUGUCAAAGCUGUUCUUUUGCACUAAUUUUGGAUUCAAGAAUUAUUACGCAAGCUUUUUUAAAUACACUCGUGCGCGUGCGCGGCAUAUCAAACGGUGGCAGCACAUCUGUCUCUCUCUAUAAUUGGAUUACAACACUAAGUUGUUGCAUGGGUUAAUGCACUUCGUGCGGCAUAAACAAAUUCCAAUUACAAGGGUCAUAGAAAAGCAAUAAUGUUCGGAAAAAGCCGCAAAUAAAUAUAAAUCAAGUUCGGACCAUUGGCAGCCAAUAUGGCACCGCUCAGGUAACAGGAACCACAAAAGAAGCCAUCAGCAGUAACAACAACAACAAUAUCUCCAAUAAUAAUAAUGACUAAAAUGAAAGAUAAAAGUCAAAAGCGGCACUUUAACACGGCGCAUCCUCAUCAGCAACAUUAGCAGCGCCCAAAGUCAUUGCGUUCAACAACGGUAUCGCCACCAGCAUCGCCAUCGGCAACAGCCUCAUCAGCGCCAUUAGUGGCAUGGCAUUGUAUUAGUAGUGGCAGCAGCGCUUUCGUUUGCGUUAUCCUCCGCCGUUUUUGCUCCACUAAUUGCGCAUGCGCUCUAAUCAAUAUUGGCGUCCCGCUGUUGCAUGUCGAUCAAAGCGUGUGGCAUGCAUUUUCUUAGCCUUUCCUAAAUGCUGAAAGUCAGUCAGUCAGCCAGUCAGUCAGUGAGUAAGUUGAGUGCUUGUGCAGUUAGCUGGUUGGUAUGCGCAACAAAAGCUGCCUUUGUGCCUCAUAUGACAUUCCGCACAAGGUUAAAACGUUUCAUUAGCGAGAACUGUUAGCAAUGUUGUAAUGAGUUUUACUUAUAUUUAUUGCUGUUGUUGUAGUCCUUAUAUAUUGUUUUGUUUGACGUCUUUUUGUUCAUUAUUUCUGCUGCUUAAACUGAGUUGCCCGUUUCUUGGCUGAUUGGCAUAUUCGCUGCUCAGUCAAUUGGAGUUAAGCGUUUUUCUUUUGAAUGUAUUUGUUGCCACUUUUUGGCUUUUUAUAGGAAAAUUCCAAGUGGUCAUUGAUUGACGAAUAUUUAUUAAUUGUGUCAGUUGUGAGAAAUCUGUUAAAAAUUGUAAGCAUUUAAGAUUACCUAGAGAACCAAUUAUUGUGUAAUAAAUUAGAAGAAGCUGGUGGGAAAAAAUUCUUUGUUAUUAUCUUUGUAAUGUGACUGUCGAUUCAUUAAUUUUUUAAGAAUAAUAAAGACUUGGAUGAGAAGAAUGCUAAGUUUGUCGCUGAGACCAGCAUUGAAUGACUGGUAGAGACUUUUAAGAAAGGAAAAGCUUCAAAGGUUUGACCUUGCUGAUGAUGCAGCCUUUUUUGAAAAGCAUUGUUUUCCCUGAGUUUAGAUCCGGCUUCGGCAGAUCGUUAUAAAUUAUUUUAGCUUUGGUCAAAUUCUUACAUAUUUUGCUUGUUUGAAGCCAGGUUCACUCCUUACCUAUAAUAAUACCACUUGGAACGAAACGUGGGAGACUUUGAAAAAAAUAUACACAAUAAAUGAGUUAACUAAGCCCGGUUCGUCUGUCUGUAUGAUGUACGCGAAUUGGGCCCUCGGCUUUUGACAUAUCUAUCUGAAAUUUUGCACAUGUUCUACUGUCAGAAAGAAGUUACUCAUUUGUCGAAACCGCUGGUGUCGGAAUCCCGUAGCAUUUAGUAACCUUUCAACGUGAACAAUCGGAGUCGACUUCUUGAAUGGAAAACUAUUUUAUUUUAUGGAAUAUCUUCACGAAAAUCGGCAAGAGUUAUUGUCUAAACCAAUUACGCAAUCCCUGAAGAUUUUUUUAGAUCGGAUCUCUGUGGAAGAGAGCUAGAGUAUAGCUGCCAUUCAAACUGAACGAUCAAAGUUAAGUUCUUGUGGGGAAAAGUUUUUUAUUCGAGAAGAUAUUUUCACGAAAUUUGGUACAAAUCUUCUAAUCUACAAUCCUAGAAUAAGUUGUUUGGAUCGUAACGAUAAAACAAAAUCAAGAUAAAGGUCUUCAUAAAAGAUCUGUUUUCGGACUAACUAACUUCAAUUAAUAUUUUCAUAAGAGACAAACUAAUGACUGGUUCGGAGCAGCCGAGGUUAACUUGACAAUAAAUUUUACAUAUUAUAAGUGUGGUAACUCUGCUUUAUUCUAUAUUUUAACAGAAACCUUUGAAGAUCUUGGCAAACUGAAGAGAUAAUAUUUUUAAGCGCAAGUUUUCAAAUUUAAAUAGUUUUGAGCCAUUUACAUGUUGGGUGGCAACUCUUUGCGUAUUUUGUAUUAUUAUUAUUUCAAUAGAGCUAACUUUUUCUUACAUUCAAAAAUUAACCGAAUUUAACUUUAUGUUUUUCAUUUAAUUUUUUAACCAGGUGGCAACUCGAAAUUUUUUAAAAUAUUUUUAUCUUAAGUGCGACAAUUAACCGAAUUUUAUUUUUUGUUUGUUUUUAAUUUUAAUUUUUAACCAGAUGGCAACUCUAAAAGUUUUAAAAUGUUUUUAAUUUUUUUAAUGGAGUUUAAAAGUUUAUUUUUAAUAUCUCUAUUUAUUAUUUACUUCGACUUUUAAUUUUAUUCGGAGUUAAGUGGCAACUCCUCAAAAUAUUAUUUCUUAAAUAGUGUUACUUAAAACAGUUUCCAUGAAUAAUAAAGACAUUUUCGCACUCGAAUUUUUAUUUUAGUAUUUUAUAUUUUGAUUUAUAGCCCGGUGGCAGCUCC